AUGUGCUGUCACAAAGUGAGAUCCACAACUUCCUCUUACAGACUGGAAAGCACCAAGAGUGUUUCUUGCUCUUUCUGGGUCUCAUCUUGGACAAGGAUCCAGCUGUGCUUCUCACCAUCCCGACUCCCAUGUGCUGCUGAUUCUGGAGAAGACCCAGGAGUUGAACAGCUAUUUGAAUCUACCCAGAUUAUAAUCUGAAGCUACCCUGAAUCCCCUCCAGUAGACGACAGAUGACUUUGAUCACGACACCAACACUUACCUGGGUAAGAACCCAGGGGAUUUACAAAGAUUUUUGGCUUGCCAGAGCCCUUCAACUGGAAGCAUCAUUUUCAGAUUCAAGGUGAGGUCACAUUUAGGAUCAUUUGUAGAAAGGAGAUGGAUUCAC
rnacentral:lncRNA from 1 species